rnacentral:rRNA from 1 species
CCUACGGGGGGCAGCAGUCGAGAAUCAUUCACAAUGGGGGAAACCCUGAUGGUGCGACGCCGCGUGGGGGAAUGAAGGUCUUCGGAUUGUAAACCCCUGUCAUGUGGGAGCAAAUUAAAAAGAUAGUACCACAAGAGGAAGAGACGGCUAACUCUGUGCCAGCAGCCGCGGUAAUACAGAGGUCUCAAGCGUUGUUCGGAAUCACUGGGCGUAAAGCGUGCGUAGGCUGUUUCGUAAGUCGUGUGUGAAAGGCGCGGGCUCAACCCGCGGACGGCACAUGAUACUGCGAGACUAGAGUAAUGGAGGGGGAACCGGAAUUCUCGGUGUAGCAGUGAAAUGCGGAGAGAUCGAGGGGAACACUCGUGGCGAAGGCGGGUUCCUGGACAUUAACGGACGCUGAGGCACGAAGGCCAGGGGAGCGAAAGGGAUUAGAUACCCCUGUAGUC